rnacentral:rRNA from 1 species
UACGGGGGGGGCAAGCGUUGUUCGGAAUUACUGGGCGUAAAGGGCUCGUAGGCGGCCAACUAAGUCAGACGUGAAAUCCCUCGGCUUAACCGGGGAACUGCAUCUGAUACUGGAUGGCUUGAGUUCGGGAGAGGGAUGCGGAAUUCCAGGUGUAGCGGUGAGAUGCGUAGAUAUCUGGAGGAAUACCGGUGGCGAAGGCGGCAUCCUGGACCGGCAUUGACGCUGAGGAGCGAAAGCCAGGGGAGCAAACGGG